UACGAAGGGGGCUAGCGUUGUUCGGAUUCAUUGGGCGUAAAGGGUGCGUAGGCGGCGUGGUAAGUCAGGUGUGAAAUCUCGGAGCUCAACUCCGAAACUGCACUUGAUACUGCCUUGCUCGAGUACUGGAGAGGAGAUUGGAAUUUACGGUGUAGCAGUGAAAUGCGUAGAUAUCGUAAGGAAGACCAGUGGCGAAGGCGAAUCUCUGGACAGUUACUGACACUGAGGCACGAAGGCCAGGGGAGCAAACGGG
rnacentral:rRNA from 1 species